AUGAUGAAUGUGAAAUUCAAAUUCGUAGUUUGGAAUCUCUGGGUGUUCCUUGUGGACACGUAUGGCAGUCUUUUAUGCCCUGUGUUAUUGCAAUUGAUGCCAGAGGACAUUGCUUUAGCUUAUACUCGUCAGUUGGACUUUGAUGGUGAAUGGAAAGUGCCUGAGCUUAUUCAAUUUCUACAAAAGGAAGUGCAAAGCCGAGAAAGAGCACUGCAACUAACUAGACCAGAAAGUUCAAAAAGGGACAAACAGAUGAGUAAAAGAUCUUUCGCUAAACCUGAGAUGAUUCAUGAACCAAGGCAUAAAAAAUGGACAAUGUCUUCUGCAGCUGCACUGCACACUGUUAGUCAUGUUCCCAAGGCUUGUAUAUAUUGUGAGAACCUGAACCAUAAGCCUGAAAAUUGCUCUGAGUAUUCAGUGUCUGCUCGAAAAGACAAGCUAAGAAAAAUGGGAAAAUGUUUUGCUUGUUUGGGUCCUAAACACAUAGCAAAGUUCUGUAGGGUUAAAGGAGUUAACUGUGCUAAGUGUGGACGUAAGCACCAUCAGUCAAUCUGUGAGCAAAAUCAUAAGCAGCCUGAGAACAAAAACGACAGUGUGGAAGAUAGCAACACUAGCUCUGAAGCUGUAGUGUCGUCUUUGUCGAACACUGUAAAACCAAAGGCUGAAGGGCAACCAACUGUGCUGCUUCAGACAAUUAAGGCAUGGAUAGAAGGUCCAGCAGGUAAAAAAUUAGUACGUUGUUUAUUGGAUGGAGGCAGCCAAAGAAGCUUUGUGCGAGAGAAUCUUGUGAAAACACUAGAAUUACCAGUGCUGAAAAAAGAGACUUUGAAUCUUCACACUUUCGGAGCUGAGUGUCCUGUGAGUACAGAACGUAACAUCGUGAAAUUGACACUUGAAAGUGUAUGGAAUGAAAAUGAAAAAAUAGAAAUCGCAGCAAUAGGGAUGCCUCAAAUCUGUACUGCUGUUAUGAAAGUUCCUGGAGAACAUGUGCAAAAUAAGCUUAAAGCUAAGGGUCUGCAACUUGCAGAUGUUUUCUCUGAGGACACCAAUGAUUCUGAGCUUUCAGUAUUAAUAGGAGCAGACUACUACUGGCAAAUAGUAUCAGGUAGAGUUGAGAGAUUAACUGAAUCUCUUGUAGCCCUGGAAAGUAUUUUUGGAUGGACUGUUCAAGGACCAAUUCCCAUGUUGAGUGUACCUGACACAACAUGCAUGCAAAUUUGUUUAGAAGAAGAUACGCAGAUUUCAAAACAGUUGUGUGCUUUUUGGGAAGUAGAGUCUUUGGGCAUACUAAACAAGACAACUGAGGGUGCAGAAGAAAUAGAAGACGUACAACACUUUAACCAGACAGUAAGGUUUAAGGAUGGUCGUUAUCAGGUUGAAUUACCUUGGAAACCAAAUAAACAAAAACUACAAAAUAAUUUCAAGGUGGCUAAGACAAGGUUUGAAAGGCUGCAGAAAACUCUAAAAGCUGAUGUAACCUUUUACACACAAUACAAAGACGUAAUACAAGACUAUUUACAACAAGGCAUUUGUGAAGAUGUUCCAGGCAAUGAUUCACAAGUAAAGGAGACAGGUGCUGUUUAA
ensembl:lncRNA